rnacentral:sRNA from 1 species
CCCUCUUCCACCACUCACCUGAUGAAUCGCAUAAAAAAAAUUUUAAGAAGAAGAAGAAAAAAA